CCUGACAACACAGGGAGAAAGUGCAGAGAAUUUAAUUCGCAAGCACUAUAUUUGACCCUGUAACUCUCCAAGACACCAUAAAACCUGUACAUAGGGGGUACUGUUUUACUCGGGAGACUUCGCUGAACUCAAAUAUUAGUGUUUCAAACUGGUAAAUUGUAUUACAACCAUGAUAUUUUAAGUAAAAGUUAAGUUUUUUUGCAUUUUUUACAAACGGCACUUUUAUGGACU